AUUGCAGGCUGCAACUCGCCUGCAUGAAGUUGGAAUUGCUAGUAAUCGCGAAUCAGAAUGUCGCGGUGAAUACGUUCCCGGGCCUUGUACACACCGCCCGUCACACCAUGAGAGUCGAUAACACCCGAAGCCUGUGAGCUAACCGCAAGGAGGCAGCAGUCGAAGGUGGGGGUUGAUGAUCGGGGUGAAGUCGUAACAAGGUACC
rnacentral:rRNA from 1 species